rnacentral:rRNA from 1 species
AGUGAACGCUGGCGGCGUGCCUAAUACAUGCAAGUCGAACGGAGUGGCGCACGGGUGAGUAAUGUAUAGCUAAUCUGCCCUACACUAGAGGACAACAGUUGGAAACGACUGCUAAUACUCUAUAGUGUAGGAUGAGGCUAUAUUGUAUCAGCUAGUUGGUGAGGUAAUGGCGGACCAAGGCUAUGACGCAUAACUGGUCUGAGAGGACGAUCAGUCACACUGGAACUGAGGCACGGGCGGGGCUCCUGCCGGAGGGAGCAGGAGGGAAUAUUGCUCAAUGGGGGAAACCCUGCAGCAGCAACGCCGCGUGAAGGAUUACACUUUUCGGAGCGUAAACUCCUUUUGUUAGGGAAGCGGUACCUAACGAAUAAGCACCGGCUAACUCCGUGCCAGCAGCCGCGGUAAUUC